UUUUCUCUAUAUCUCUUUCUUCACCAUUUCUGAUCCCUCUUGUACCCAUAACCUCCCCUCUCCCCCCUUCUGCUCCUCGUUGCCGACCACCUUGCAUCACCAACCGAAAAACUCUUAUAUUAAAUCAAAAGGCUGUCAAAGAUAAUAGACACAAUAAAAUUGUGAGGCCUUUUGAAUAGCGUAAAAAUAAUCUUCAAAAUUUACAGAAAACGGUAAAAUAAAUGGUGGAGAUAACUUGGCAGAAAGAUGAUAUCGCCGGAAUCAUCAUUUUUUCCGGUAAGAAAUAUUGUAAAAAAAAAUGGGAAAAAGAAAUAAGAAAGGAAAUAAAGAAAAAAGAAAAAAGAAAAUAAAAAUAUAGAUGAAAAAAAAAAGAAGUAAAAUGAAAAGGAAAAAAAUAUAAUUGUAAAACAAAAUUUGCUUCUCACGAGAAUCAUUAACUUAUCCUCCGAAAUACUACAAGGAAGAAGACAAAUAUGAAAAUAAAAAAAGAAAAGAAAGAAAAAAAAGAAAAAAGUUAAGGCAUUAAUAAAGAAAGAAUAGAAAAGGGUAGAAAAAAGAAAAAAAUAAAAGAAAAUGGAAGAAGCUAGCUGGGGUGUGUGAAAAUGGUGGAUGGAGUAAUAAGGGAGAAGUAAACAAGAAAGAGAAUAAAUAAAAAAAAAAAAAUGAAAUUUUAGGGCUUUCACGCGCAUUCAUCCACAUCAGCUCAAAAUCUGGUAUUAAUCUCAUUUCAAACAAAUGCAAUCCCUACAAAGUAUGAUGGUGCAACUGGUAAAGUAGGACAAUCCCAGGGUAAGCGUUAUCUUAAUUUUAAGGCCAAAUACCUAUACAACCCAUUAAACUUGAUCUCAGUUUCCAUUUAGACACUUCAACUAACGACAGUACCUAUUAAACACUGUAACUCAAACAAAAGUGUAUCUAUUAAACACAAAUGUUGACAUGGAAUAUUUGUGUGAGUUGCACCUAAAUUAGGCGCGUGAAAUAAUGUUCAUCAUUUCUUUUUCUUUUUUUUUUAUUUGUUUCAAAAUAUUUCUUUUCCCCCACUUAUACAACAGCCACCAACACUCACCGUGUAACCAUUAGACCAUCGCCACUCUUUAUCCAUUACCGCCACCAUUCUCCAUCAUUCCCCAAAGAUCGAUCAGCUACAAACAUGUGACAUCCUAUUAAAAAAAAUACCAUCUUCUUCCUCACCACAUUCUACCACCACUCACCAUAGUUCAAAGAUAAAAGAUUUUAAAGUUCAAAAUGCUAGAAUUUGAGAAUCUGAGAAUUUUUAAAAUUAACGUGAUUUAUCCCAGAAAUUAGAGGCAAAGCCACCACAAUAUUAAAUAAAACAGAGAGAAACCCAGCAAAAAAAACCAAUAAUUUCACCUACUAAUAAAUCAAAAUGGAUUCUUCACAUCUAAAUCAAGCAAUUUCAAAAGUGAUGAGGCAUAAUUUCGUAAAUCACUGCAGUCCUGACGAAAUCGAAAAAAACUUGGAAGCUCCAAAACAAUAUUGGCCGACAAAGUCAAGCCAACCAUUAUUCUUCCAAUAAGAUCGAUUGACUAGAAACGAAAAAAAAUAGAUUUAUCUUUCAAUAUUUUCUCGUUUUCUCCUUAAAGAAAAAAUAAUCAAAUGUUUAUCAACUUGCGGUGGUGUCACAACAGUGAAUAUAGUAGGUUGUGAAUUUUUUUUGUUAUUUUUGCUGGUCAUGAAAUUAGGUAGACAUUAAAGAUGGAUUGCAGAAGAAAUGGAGGACUUUAGAAAUUGGGGGAUAAUAAGUGAAGUGAAAUCUUAAUAUAUUAGUUAGUUGACUGUGAAGUAUUUGAUAUGAUACUUUUUUGGGAGAAAGAAGAUGACAAAAGGUGGAGAGAGAUAAGAGAAGAAGACGGGCGGGGGGGUUGCUGGGAGAAAAAAUAAUGUUUGUCUCUGUUUUUAUUUUGCUGACUUGUUAUUUUCUUAUUGGUCUUAUUAGCAGGGUGACCAACAAGUAGCAUCCACGCAUUUAUGUAAGUUUAUAGUUGUCAAAUGUGUGUUUAAUGGGCACAUAUGGGAUGAAGUUGAAGCGUUUAAUAAGUACUGGCCCUAGUUGAACUGUCUAAAUUGAAAUUGGAGCCAAGUUUAAGGAAUUGUCUAGGUAUUUGGCCUAAUUUUAAAGACUUAAAAAAAAUACCUCUUAGUCAAAGAAAAAUUAUGUAAUUUUCUAAAUAACAUUAGUGUCAUAAGUAUUUAGAAUAAUUUUUUGUUAUUUAUGGAAAAUAUAUUCUACGAAGCCAAAAAUUCUACUACCCUGCAUUAAAGUUAUAACAUGGACACUUGCUGGGGUAAUUAAAUUUAUAGGAUUCCCUCAUAGUACAAAAAAGGAAAUUAAAUAUAUGCUCCAUAUGCAAUGAUGUUUGAAACAUCUAACGUUGUUGUUUCAAACACCUAUCAUUGUCGUUAAAUCUACAAGAUCAUUAUGUUGAAGUAUUCUUAGGUUAAUCAAUAGGUUGACGUUUAAUCAAUAUGUGUCAUCUCGCGGAAGAUCAACAUUUGCCUUUUGUUCUCUUACUUUCCUUGUUUCCUCUUCUUCUUCCUUUUCUGUUUCCUCUUCUUUUUCUUUCUCUGUUUCUUCUUCUCUAGCAUUCCCUCGUAGUACAUUCCAUGUUUCCUCUUUAUUCUCUUUCUCAAUUUCCUCUUCAUUUUCUUUCUCUUUUUCUUCUUCUCCAACAUUUCCUCCUACUACUACCUGAAAAGGUUUGGCUUCCACUUCAACUAUAAUUAAUUUUUGUAGUUCAUCCUCUUGACAUGUCUUAAUUCUUUUGCUAGAUCUUUUGGAAAAAGAUUUAUCUCUUCCUCUUCCACCUGUCUUUGACACACAUUCCUUUUUUAUUUUAUCUGCACACACAAACAAGUAACGACCAUCAAUAAAAUAAAUAAAUAAUUUGUUCCUAACACAUAAAAACAUAAAACAAUAAGUAUUCAAGUAUUUUUUGGUAAAAUAUCUCAUUGAGAUGUUUGAAGCCUCAUAUAAGAUGUUUCAAACAUCUCAACAAGAUAUUUGAAACAUCUUACAGAGAUAUUUCAAACAUCUCUAAAGGUGCUGAAUUGUGGAAGUUGGUCUACAAGAUUGAGCUUAAGAGGCAAAAUCAAUUUUCUGUCAUCUACAAAUGCUAAGCAAGAUAUAGUAAUUUAAGUUUCUAGCUAGUUAGAUGGAGUUUGAAAGCAAGCUAACAAUGUUCAUAUUAUAGUUCUCCAAACUUCUUUAUCUAUAUGUCUUUAUCAAUAAUUUUCUUAAUCGUUAAAAUAAUCAACCAUCUCAUUGUGAUAAUCAAGUAUCUUUUGAUGAAACAUCUCAGGGAUUGUUAAAUAUCCUUAUAGAUAUUUCGAACAUCUUAAUGAGAUGUUUUAAACACUCAGCUCAAAAUAUCAUGAACCAAACCCAAAUAAAUAUUGCAAUAACUUUACAACAUACAACAAUAAUAACAAUAACAACACGAAUAUUUAGCAAUAUCUUAAGAUAUUUCAAACACUCAACUCACAUGUUUGAAACAUCUCGGCAAAAAAGUGUUCCCCAAAAUAGAGUAAUAUAGCUGUUUCAACAUCACAACAACUAAUUUUAUGGGCAUGUGGAAUAACCACAUCAACGACUACAAUUAAACAACAUAAAAAUAUCAAAUUUUCGAUCAAAAAUAUCAACUACACAACAACUCUAGAAUUUAGGCACAAAAAAAUACAAAACAACCAGAGGAUACAAAAACACUCAAAAAAUUAUUUUAGGAUUGAAAUAACAAGUUUAGGAUUUAUUAAUAUGGUAGAAAAAAGAAAAAAAACUUACCUUGAUGAUGGAAUCUCAACUCCAAAUCAAAUUUAAAUGGAAUGGAGCCGAUUUUUGGAGCCAUAUAGUACUCUUGAUUUUGGAGAUUGAAUUUGAGAGAAAAGUUGAAAAAGUUUAGGGGAUAAUCGUGUCUUGUUUUGAAAAGGGAAGAAAGAGACAAGUUAGAUUAGAAGAUGGGUUUUUUUAUUUUUUAGUAUUUUAAAUUUUACCCCAAACUUUUUUUAUUUCUAAUUUGACCGAGACAACCCCUAAUCAUUCUUAAUCAGUGAGCCUUAAGUUAAUCAAAAAGGGUGUCUCACAUACUUACACAAUAAUUGAAAUUAGUGAGCUAAUCUUUGCAUGUCAAAUUUAUUUUGUUUUGAUUUUUUUGAGUUUACCUUUCUAUUUGUCUUUUUAAUCUUAUUUUAUUCUUUUUCUUUUACAUUUUUCUCUCUAUAUCUCUUUCUUCACCAUUUCUGAUCCCUCUUGUACCCAUAACACCCCCCUUCCCCCUUUUCUCCUCAUUGCCGACCAUCCUACAUCACCCACCGAAAAACUCUUAUAUUAAAUCAAAAGAUUGCCGGAGAUAAUAGACAUGAUAAAGUUGUGAGGCCUUUUGAAUAGCGUAAAACUAAUCUUCUAAAUUUAUAAAAAAAAAAAAAAACAGGACAAUAAAUGG
rnacentral:lncRNA from 1 species